rnacentral:rRNA from 1 species
AACGAUGAUCCCUGCUUGCUGGGGGAUUAGUGGCGAACGGGUGAGUAACACGUGAGUAACCUGCCCUUGACUCUGGGAUAAGCCUGGGAAACUGGGUCUAAUACCGGAUACGACCGUCCCACGCAUGUGGUGGUGGUGGAAAGCUUUUGCGGUUUGGAUGGACUCGCGGCCUAUCAGCUUGUUGGUGGGGUAAUGGCCUACCAAGGCGAUGACGGGUAGCCGGCCUGAGAGGGUGACCGGCCACACUGGGACUGAGACACGGCCCAGACUCCUACGGGAGGCAGCAGUGGGGAAUAUUGCACAAUGGGCGGAAGCCUGAUGCAGCGACGCCGCGUGAGGGAUGACGGCCUUCGGGUUGUAAACCUCUUUCAGUAGGGAAGAAGCCGUGAGGUGACGGUACCUGCAGAAGAAGCGCCGGCUAACUACGUGCCAGCAGCCGCGGUAAUACGUAGGGCGCAAGCGUUAUCCGGAAUUAUUGGGCGUAAAGAGCUCGUAGGCGGUUUGUCGCGUCUGCUGUGAAAGACCGGGGCUCAACUCCGGUUCUGCAGUGGGUACGGGCAGACUAGAGUGAUGUAGGGGAGACUGGAAUUCCUGGUGUAGCGGUGAAAUGCGCAGAUAUCAGGAGGAACACCGAUGGCGAAGGCAGGUCUCUGGGCAUUAACUGACGCUGAGGAGCGAAGGCAUGGGGAGCGAACAGGAUUAGAUACCCUGGUAGUCCAUGCCGUAAACGUUGGGCACUAGGUGUGGGGGACAUUCCACGUUUUCCGCGCCGUAGCUAACGCAUUAAGUGCCCCGCCUGGGGAGUACGGCCGCAAGGCUAAAACUCAAAGGAAUUGACGGGGGCCCGCACAAGCGGCGGAGCAUGCGGAUUAAUUCGAUGCAACGCGAAGAACCUUACCAAGGCUUGACAUGAACCGGUAACGCCUGGAAACAGGUGCCCCGCUUGCGGUCGGUUUACAGGUGGUGCAUGGUUGUCGUCAGCUCGUGUCGUGAGAUGUUGGGUUAAGUCCCGCAACGAGCGCAACCCUCGUUCCAUGUUGCCAGCACGUAGUGGUGGGGACUCAUGGGAGACUGCCGGGGUCAACUCGGAGGAAGGUGGGGACGACGUCAAAUCAUCAUGCCCCUUAUGUCUUGGGCUUCACGCAUGCUACAAUGGCCGGUACAAAGGGUUGCGAUACUGUGAGGUGGAGCUAAUCCCAAAAAGCCGGUCUCAGUUCGGAUUGGGGUCUGCAACUCGACCCCAUGAAGUCGGAGUCGCUAGUAAUCGCAG